rnacentral:pre_miRNA from 1 species
AUAUUGGCGCUGGCGUUUCGGCCUAGUCCUAGGCCUUUCUCUAAGUGCCACUUUGAGAAAGGCCUAGGACUAGGCCGAAACGCCAACCGCCAAUAUGAU